UCUAAUACCGGAUAAUACUYCUGCACUCAUGUGUGGGGGUUAAAAGCUCCGGCGGUGCAGGAUGAGCCCGCGGCCUAUCAGCUUGUUGGUGAGGUAAUGGCUCACCAAGGCGACGACGGG
rnacentral:rRNA from 1 species